CUACGGGUCGCUCCAGUGAGGAAUAUUGCACAAUGGGGGGAACCCUGAUGCAGCAACGCCGCGUGGAGGAUGACGCAUUUCGGUGUGUAAACUCCUUUUAUAUGUCAAGAAAAUGACGGUAGCAUAUGAAUAAGCACCGGCUAACUCCGUGGCAGCAGCCGCGGUAAUACGGAGGGUGCAAGCGUUACUCGGAGUCACUGGGCGUAAAGGACGCGUAGGCGGGUUGGUAAGUCAGGUGUGAAAUCCUACAGCUUAACUGUAGAACUGCACUUGAAACUUCUAAUCUAGAGUAUGGGAGGGAGAGAUGGAAUUAGUGGUGUCGGGGUAAAAUCCGUAGAUAUCACUAGGAAUACCUAAAGCGAAGGCGAUCUCCUGGAACAUUACUGACGCUAAGGCGUGAAAGCGUAGGGAGCAAACAGGAUUAGAUACCCUGGUAGUC
rnacentral:rRNA from 1 species